AGGUAUUUUGUGAUUUUUUGAAUAAAUCAUUUUUUUCAGGCAGAAAACGUCCGUGUUUUUAUAAAAUAAUGAAAUCGUGAAAUUUUACGUUUUCUUACGUUUCCUCGUACUAUUUAAAAAAGGCGUUGAAAAUCAAAAAAUUACCUCUAAUGUAUAAUCUCGACAAUUUGAGCUUUCAGAAAAGUUGCUACACGUAAAAUUUGGAGCAAGCUACUAGGAAAAAACGUGUCCACAGACUAGAAGAAAAAAAAAAAGUAAACAUCUUAGUAAAACCAAUAGCUCUCUCGCUACGCUCGGAAUCUAAAUGAACUAGUUCAAGUUUGUCAAAUUGAAACAAGAUUAAAAUAUUUAUGUAAUAAUAUGGAAU